rnacentral:rRNA from 1 species
GACGAACCGUGCGAACGUUGUUCGGAUUCACUGGGCUUAAAGGGCGCGUAGGCGGUACGCCAAGUCUGGGGUGAAAUCUUUCGGCUCAACCGGAAAAUUGCCUGGGAUACUGGCGUGCUCGAGGGAGGUAGGGGCAGCGGGGAACUGCCAGUGGAGCGGUGAAAUGCGUUGAUAUUGGCAGGAACGCCGGUGGCGAAAGCGCGUUGCUGGACCUCUUCUGACGCUGAUGCGCGAAAGCUAGGGGAGCAAACGGGG